GACGAACGCUGGCGGCGUGAUUAACACAUGCAAGUCGAACGGAAAGGCCCUGCUUUUGUGGGGUGCUCGAGUGGCGAACGAGUGAGUAACACGUGAGUAACCUGCCCUUGACUUUGGGAUAACUUCAGGAAACUGGGGCUAAUACCGGAUAGGAGCUCCUGCUGCAUGGUGGGGGUUGGAAAGUUUCGGCGGUUGGGGAUGGACUCGCGGCUUAUCAGCUUGUUGGUGGGGUAGUGGCUUACCAAGGCUUUGACGGGUAGCCGGCCUGAGAGGGUGACCGGCCACAUUGGGACUGAGAUACGGCCCAGACUCCUACGGGAGGCAGCAGUGGGGAAUAUUGCACAAUGGGCGGAAGCCUGAUGCAGCAACGCCGCGUGCGGGAUGACGGCCUUCGGGUUGUAAACCGCUUUCGCCUGUGACGAAGCGUGAGUGACGGUAAUGGGUAAAGAAGCACCGGCUAACUACGUG
rnacentral:rRNA from 1 species